rnacentral:rRNA from 1 species
UACAGAGGGGGCAAGCGUUGUUCGGAAUUACUGGGCGUAAAGGGCGCGUAGGCGGCCUGCUAAGUCGAACGUGAAAUCCCUGGGCUUAACCCAGGAACUGCGUCCGAUACUGGCAGGCUUGAAUCCGGGAGAGGGAUGCGGAAUUCCAGGUGUAGCGGUGAAAUGCGUAGAUAUCUGGAGGAACACCGGUGGCGAAGGCGGCAUCCUGGACCGGCAUUGACGUUGAGGCGCGAAAGCCAGGGGAGCAAACGGG